AUGAUCAUGACUACGUCACCAAGAACCACUUCUUCAUCGCCCAACGAGCUCUACAUCAAGAAAGUGAAGCUUUGGGUGAACGCCUCGAGCAACUCGCCAUCGACCUUCGUCAAAGCAAGGAACCGCGACUACAUUGACGCCAAGUUCACCACACAAAUGGAAGAAUUCCGCAACAUGAUCGUGAGACGCGAGUCUUCCUCAACCUCUUCGCCAAGACGGCGCCACUCAAGUCACCGCUCAAGUCGGCAAUCUUUGGACUACUCCUCUUACGAUGCAAGUCCUCCGCAAGCCCGCUUUCAUCGACGUGAUGAUCCCCAAGGUCGCCAAGCUCAAGAAAAUCCAUUCCAUGGAAAUGGCUUACAAGAUCGAGUUCGAGCACGUGAUAGGGCGCGACGACAAGAGCAAGAAGCAAUGGAGCAAGAGAAAAUACCUCCACAAGUGCAACGUCAAGCACCUCAAGACGGUGAUGCACUCCGACAAGCACAAGAAUGUCGUGAAGCACAAGCACUUGAGCGUGAAGCACAAGCACGUGAAGCACAACGCGCACUCCGCGAGGUCACUAGAGCCGUCGACGAGCACAACCGCCAAGUGCGUGAACAAGAGGAAGCACUCCGUCAAGCACGACAAGAAGAAGCCACCAGAUGCAAAGAGCAACAAGAAAGGCGAAACCAAGCGCAUAUGCCUUGUCCUCCUUGA
rnacentral:rRNA from 1 species